rnacentral:lncRNA from 1 species
GGUAAGGCAAGUGGGAUUGCUGGCUGCUGGAUGUCAGCCAUGGAACAAAGAUGUGUGUGCUGCCAAUGGAGACAGGUUUGCAUAUUGUGCUACUCUGGCUAUCUAUAUUUAUCAGGUAACAUAAUGCUAAUUCUUUUCAAUUUUUAAUUGUAACAGUUAAAAUGAUCAUUUAAUUCAUAGUUGUUUUAAGUUUUUUUCACAUGAAAAGCAUAAUUGCUAUAAUUUAGUUGCUAUUUCUAUUUUCUGUUUUUUUUUUAAUUUUUUAUUGUUGGCUGUUCAAAACAUUACAUAGUUCUUGAUAUAUCAUAUUUUUAUUGGGCUUUCAGAUGCUCAGAAAAUGUUUAUAUCAUCUUAUUAGUAAAUUUGAAAUGAGAAAAUUAUAUCAGUUGAAGGAUGUGGAUAGUCUAUUAGAAAUCAUCACAUGAAAAUUAGUGUGGAUACAUUUCAAAAUAUUUUUGAGAGAAAAAUCUUUAUAACUACUUUUUAAAAAAAAUUCCAGUUGUCACUUAUCAAUUCCCAAUGUACAAAGCCAGUGUCUUCAUGAAUUUUUCUAUAUAGAGGAGCCAUAAACAUCUUAAAUCCAAAUUUAGUCUUUCUCCUGAACCCAGAGUCAAAUUCUCAAAAGGCUAACCUUUCUCUAAACCAGAAAUGUUAGUCAGAAUGACUCACUUCUACGUACCUCCUUUGCCGUUGGUAACCAAGAGUGAUGUGAUAUCUUGUAUUUUUCAGUAUCUUUCCUCCCUGAACUAUAUAAUAUACUCUUAAUAGUCUCUCUUCCUUUCAUUUGUUUUUUCCAUAAUUUAUGCAAAUAUCAAUUUUAAAAUCUUUAAUUGCCAUUCAUACCAUAAUAUUACAUCUAAACUUUAUAUUAUGACUGUUUUUCCCCUGGUAUCAGGUAUUGAACCAAGGGGUGUUUAACCACUGAGCCACAUCCCCAUCCCUUUUUCCAAUUUAUUUAAAGAAAGGACCUUGAUGAGUUGCUAUUGAUCUUGCCAUCCUCCUGCCUCAGCCUACUGAGCUACUAGGAUUUCAUGACUUUUAACAUCUUGUGACCAUCCUGUGUUCUUUUUCUUUUACUCUGUGCUGCAGACAUACCAACCAAUUGCAUUUUAUGAAACAUCUUAAACUCCUGUCUCCUUUUCAUUAAUUUAUCAGUUUGCCAACAUUGCCUGUGGGGGGAACAUUUUCUCAUCUUUCAAAUCUCACCUGAAAUGUAAAUUCUUUUUCAUAUUCUGCCUUUCCCCCUUCCUUAUGAGAGAGGAUUUUCAUAAAAUGAACUCUAUUUUUCCAUUUAUUAUAAAUGAGGUUGCCUUACCUUUGCGUUCUUAAACAUUUGUACACUCUCUAGCACUUCAUAGAUAAUUUAUUAAAUGUCUUAGAUGAAUGAGACCACUCUCUUUUAAUCUUCAAACAUCAACUAUUUCAGUUGACUGAAAAAUAAUGCUUUAUUCUGAAGAAUAAAUAAGAAUAAAAUAAUGCUUUAUUCUGAAAAAUACUUUUUAUUAUUACAUAAGUUUAUUACAAAUUGUGCUAUGGUUUAUUGAAAAUUGAAGAAACAAUAGCAUUCAUCCAUAAAAACAAUUCGUUUCCACAAUAUAGAAUAAAAUUGUGUGUAGUCCACUUAUGAAGACUGGAAAUGUCUAGCAAUGGAGGUGUGAUUUUAAUAUCACUCACAAUCUUUCACUUCCCAUCCCUUCUCUAUGUAAGACAAUAGAAAGCUUCCUUCCCGCCCCCCAUCUAUGUCCUUGACACCCUGCAUGUACUCCCAUGCUUCUCACUCCCAAAUUCCUUCUAUAAAAUUUUUUGCCUACCUAGUCUCAAGUCCCCCUCCUAAAGAAAAGAAGCAUGUCAGGCAAAGCAGACUGUUCCUCUCAGAGGUAAGGAUGCUAAGAAACUGAACAGGUUUAGGCAAGACAAUUUUUCAAGUUUUUAUGUCUGAAAUUUUAUGAUAGCAUUUUGUGACAAAUAUUUAGGAAGUUAAGCUAAAAUUAUGAACAUAAACUUAUGAAUUAAACUCAAAAUUAUGCUCAUUUACAAAUUAACUUAGGUGUCAGUUCAUUACAGUGUGCACUGUAGCAACUUGUUUCAAAAUAUUCCAGUAAACAAUUGCAUUACUAAAUGAUGAUAAUGACAUUAAAUUGAUGUUAAUAUAAAUUUAUAUUCUAACUUAUACAUUAUAUAUAAUUUAUAUUUACUUUCAUGUGACCUAAUUUAUAUAAUCAUACAUAUAAAUUUAUAUAAUAAAUUAAUAUUGUGUUAUGUGAUACAUAAAUAGAAAAUGUUAUGAUUUCAGAAUAAUGUUUAUUAAAUAGUAUCUUGUAUAAACAGAGUGAAUAGUCAAAGUCCAAAAACAGUGUCAAAUUCAAGAUAAUGACUGUGAUGUAUUAUUAGAUUUUUCUGAACAUUAAAUAAUAUUUCUAAAUGGCUUUUGAAUUUUUACUUUAUAAUGCACCAAAAUAUUGUAUUAAAGUUCUUUAACAUUAAUUUAUGCUCCCUCUCGAUGUAACAGUACAGUUAUAACACCAAAUUGUAAAUAUCAUAGGAAUUCAUUAAUAAUUUAAUCCCUACAAGUAGUUCAGUAUUCUCUAGUGUGCUUACAGAUACUAUUGGAUAAUUUGUGUGGUAAAGUCAAAGAAGGUCACUGAUUUUUAUAUUUAUUGUAUUUAUAACUAUCUCUAACUGAAUUUCUAAUAUGUAUAUACCAGAUUUUUCUGUUACAUUGUAUAUAUUCACAGUAUCUACCACGGCUAACAUAAAUUUCUGAAUAAUUUAAAACUUAAAAACCUGAUCAUUUGUAAAUAGACGAAGAACACAAUUAUGUAUUUAAAUAGGCUCAUGUAAAAUUAUUAUUGUUGUAGUGCCAUUCAGAUUAAAACCAGUGGUACUGGGUUAUCUUUAAUAAUGCUUUCAUCAAAGUUGUCUAAGAAUAUUUGAAACUAUAAAAAGAAAAAGAAUUUAUAGGAGACAAAGCCUUAGGAAUUAAUUAGGACAUUAGUCGAAAUUUUAUAUACAAAGAUGUUUACUGCACCAUAAAUGUGAUAGCAAAAAGCAGAAGUUACUUAAGUGCAAAACCAUAACAUCAAGGUUUGUUCUUCAAUAUCAACUGACCCUCUUCUCAUAUCAGAUUAGUUUGGCAAGAUAGCAUAAGUUUGAUCAUAUAGAGUACAAAGCAUUACAUGACACUAGAAAUGCAACUGAGAACAAACCAGGCAAAAUCUUAUUGUGGGAACAGAGGACAGGGAGAGGUCAUAAAAUCAGUAAACAAAUAAUUAAGUAAAUGUUUCAGGAAGUAAUGUGUUCCAUGAAAACUACAAAACAGAUAAUAAGAUAAUGGGAUAGGUUCUGAGGAGAGUUAUUAAUUUAAAUAGCAUAGUCUGAAAACAUCUCUCUAAAGUGGUACUUUUCAAAUCAGACCUGAACAGGUAAAUGAAUAAUCAUGAGCAGAUCAGUGGGGAGAGUAUUAGAAGAAAAGAAAACAGUGAAUAUCAAGCUGUCUGUAACAUGGAAAUGAUUUUACUGGGAGGAAUUUUAUAUCAGAUUAGUUUGGCAAGAUAGCAGAGAUUUGAUCAUGUAGAGUACUGAAGGUUCUGUCAGCAGUUAGGAUUUUACUGCAAGUAUAUGGUUAAACAAAUAUUGGAGUGACAUUUAAGAUAAUGAUUUUUAAAACUUUCAGUAACCCUGAAAUGAUCACUACAAGAUGACACAUAUAGUACAAACCAAAACAUUAUACAAAAGGUAGAGAAAUUACUUAAUCUACUAAUUAAUUCAGGCACAUUUACAAAUGAAACAGGAAAAUAUGGGCUAUUCAUUUUAUUCACUUACAUAUAAAAAUGCAACCUAAUUUAAAAAAUGACACAAAAAGGGUCAAGGAUUCAUUGUUCUGGAAGAGUUAGAUAUCUUAAUAAUAUAAGGAUAAGCAUUUGAUUUUUUUAAAAUCCUAUUUUUUUGUACAACAUAGUUUAAUUUUUAAAUUCAAAUAUAAGUGAAAAUGGCAGAAAAAAAUUCCAAAACCAAGGGGUUUAUUUACUCUUCAUAAAUGAAUAUAGCCAUGGAAAAUGUAAUAAAAAAGCUCUGAAUUCUUGUGCAUAUUUGAAUGUAAAACAUUUUUAUUAAUUUUAAUUUAUGUUUUAUUUUUCAUUCUCUCAUUUUACCCCAGAUGUUUUUUUCUGCUGAUCGAAUAUACUUAAAUAGACCAAGGCUUAAAAUUUGUUCAUCUAUUUAUUACUAGGUGAAAUAAUUUUCAUGUAUGUAGCUUUUGUUUAUAUAACAUGAUUAUUAAUGGAUAAUGCAUUAUUUUUAAAAAGUACUAAAAUGUUUUAUUUAUUUUGUUUUAGUUGGAUCACCGUUAUAAUGAAUUCAAACUUUAUGCAAUUAUGUCUGAACAUAAAAAAACAAUUACAGCAAUCUCUUGGUGUCCACAUAAUCCUGAUCUGUUUGCAAGUGGCAGUACCGAUAAUUUAGUGAUUAUUUGGAAUGUUGCAGAACAAAAAGUCAUUGCUAAACUAGACAAUACAAAAGGUACAUUUAUUAUUGAAAUUUAUUUUAUUGGAUAAAACCUUUUAUUUCAAGAAGCACAAUUAGUUUUAUUAAUUCAGGUUUUUAAAAUUGUGUUUUAAAAUUUGUAAUAGUAACUGAUAUAAGAAAUAUAUUUCACAUGUUUGUACAUGUGUGCAAAACUGAAACAAAAUUUCAUGAAAUAAUUAUACUUGGAACAUAAGAUAAAAACUUAGUACCAAAUCAUUUUAUUAAUUUUUAAAUACAAAACUUUCGAAACUAAUAUGAAAACAAUAAUUAGAAAAGAUAUUCUUAAUGGGACAAGUAAAAAGCCUUGCCUAUUCACUAGUGUAUUACACUAGUGAACAUGUAUUUAAUUUAUUUCCUCCUAAUAUUGCAGACAAUAUUCUGAAUGUAUUUAAUGUAUUGUUUAGCUGUUUUCAUGCCUUUAUGUGUAAUUCAGUCAAGGUAGAAAGUCCUAGUUCAAACAACAAAUAGGUCGUUGUGAAUUUGGAUAAUGUCAUAUUCUUUCUAAUUAUCAUUGGGAACUCCUAUUUAAUCUUAACCCAUAAUGAUGAUAUUGUCAUAAUAGUAAAUGUUGUAAUAAUGUACUCUUUCUGAGCACCAAGCAUAUAGCUCACUUGAUUAUGAUUUUGUAAGAUAAUGCUGGAUAUGUUUUCUGUAUUAAGCUUUUUCUCUGCAAUUAAUGAAAAUAAAGUAGAAAAGUGAGAUAUGACAAUUUUACUAUAUUUUAUUCAAAAUUUAUUUAUAGUGGGUAUGUAGCAAUAAUAUUAGGAAUUCGUAGACAAUUAAAAUUUUGCUUCCAUAAUAAGAAUAAUGCCUUUUGAAACCUUUAGAUAUAUUUAAUAUACUUGUUAUGUUGCUUUUCUUGUCUUUUCAAAUUUAGGUAAUUAAAGAUGCUGAAAAUUAUCAGUUAAAAGAUAUCAAUUUUGUUUUUCAGUCAUCAUCUUAAAAUUAUUUACCAAAUGAUGUUGAUUUUCAUUUAUAAAAAUGUGCAUUUAAUUCCCAAAUUCAUAUAACCUGUUUUUUUUUAAUUUUCAAAUUCUCCUUUAAGUUUUUUAAAAUUUUACAUGAAAUAAACUAAAAUGUUGCAUAUCAUUAUUUCCAUUAAGUUGUAACCCCAAAUCUACAUCAGCCUAUAAUUGAAAAUAAACAUUUUUCUAAAUAUUAUACAAAAGUACAGAUUAGACAACCUAUAAUUGUGUUUUCACCUAGUUUAGCUAAUGGUUUAUCAUGUCAUCAUACGUAUUAUAUCCUUUUAUGAGGGAAAGAAUUUUUUUAAAUUCAUCAGUUGAGUGUAUCAUAAUUUCCUUUGCCACCCGAUAUAUAAUUAAACAAGAUUUUCAAUUAACAGUGGUAGAAUAAUAAAUUAUUAUAGUAGCAAUUUUAGUAAAUAUUGCUUUCUUUGGAAAAUUCAAAGAUUAGUAAUAACUUUCCCAUGUUAUUUACAAUUACCUUCUUAUUUGAAGACUGAAAACUUCAAUAUUGUAUUUAGAAAAAAUAUGAACAUUUUUAGUCAUUUUCAUUUUAAAUAUCCCCUUUUGAAUGUCUUAAGACACCAUUAUUUUUUAGAAUUCAGGUUAAGCAAAAUAGAAAUUUGCAUUAAUUCAACUUUUUAACCUCUACAUGUAGUACUUGACCUUGAUCUUUCCUCAGUAGUUUUCACUUCAUUUUUCUUUUUCCUAAUAAACAACAGGUUUAAAGAAAAAUGAGUAUUAGUUUGUCCAAUUGUUAAAAUGUUAAAAUUGUCACCAGUUUUAAAAAUGUCACAUGUUGAGUGCCAAAGGAAAAUAUUAAUUUUUACUUAUCUCAGAAUAUUGUUGGGAGAAUUAAAUGUUGAUAUUUGCAAAACUCUUAAAAGUAUUGUACACGGUAAGUCACCACAUAAGUAUUUUCUUCUAUUAUUAUUAUUAUUAUUAUUAUUAUUUGAAAUUGUUUCUGGUUCCUUCACUUCCCUAGCUGUCAUUCUUUAAUAUACAUUCAGCAGCCAGUCUUCUACAAUUAUGCUGUGGUGAUUUGUUUCAUACAAAAUAAUUUGUCCCUUAUUAGGGAAAUUCUGCUUCUGUUAAUUCAUCCUAAAGCCACACCAAGUUUUUUUAUUAGCCUUGAACAUGUACCCAAUUCUUUCAUUCACUCAUCAGAUAUUUAUAGAGUUCUUAAUAUGUGUCAGGCCCUGAACCAGGCUUAGGCUUCUAGUUUUUGCCUCUUGGAGCACACAGACUGUUGACACAAACUGAACUUACUAUAAACCAACAACUUUCAAUACUGUGUUUUUAUUCAUAUAAUGUUCUCUUCCUAAUAAAUACUGCUCACUCCAAUAUAUUUGAAUCUGACCUCUAUUUGAAGAUAUAAUUCAUAUCCAGUUUCUUUUUAUGACAAUAGACCAGUGAUUCUCAAAAGUUUUCUGCAUAUCAAAAUCAUUUAGAGCAACUUGAUAAAAACUAGAUUCCUAGGGCCUAACUCCACAUGACCUGAUAUAUUAUAUUCAAUUUUAUGAUUCUGAUAGUCAAUCUAUCUGUGCUGGAAGAGUUCAUAAUUUCUCUUUUGAGUCAUGCAUUUCCCAAACACCUACUUUAUAUAUAGUUUAUUUGGUCACAAUAAUAGUAGGAACAUUAACAAUUAGCUUUUGUAUUUUAUUUACGAUUUAAAAGGUAAUUUUACAUGCAUUAUUAUAUUUUCUUAACACUCAUGUGAAAUAAGUAGUCAAUUACUUUUAUUAUUAUUUCCAUUUUAUAAAUGAGGUAACAAAAGUUUAGAGAAAGUAAUUUCUUUAGCUCAUCUGAGGCAAAGCUAGAAUUUGAAUCUAAAUUCCUGAAUGAUAUAGACUGUAGCAUUGUUUGUUAUUAUUAAUCUUUAUAGUAGCAGUGAUCUCUUUAUGCGUUUAUCUCAUUGUCCUUAAUUUAUAUUUCAGAACCUUUACUUUAUUUCAUACUGCAUUGUAUAUCUAGAAUGUCUAGAAAUCUUAGAUACACAUGAUAAGUAUUUGUUGCUUUAAUAUAUAGUGUACUGAAUUAAGGAACUCUAUAAAUUUCUUUGAGUACAUGAAACAUGACAAUUGUAUUAAUAUUUGAACCGAAGUAGGUAUUUUUCCUUUCAUUCUGAAAGUUUCUACAUAUAGUCUCUGUAGUUUGGGGGAUUAGUUUAUAAAUCCUAUUCAGAAAUAAGAAAGUAAUGUAUUUUUAAAAUAAUGAACAUACUUUCGAGUUUUUAUUAGUUUUAAAAAUGUACAGUACAAGGAAUAUUUAAUGGUACAAUCUUGUGCUACAUCUUUCUAUUAAGUUUCUGUGUUUAAUUUAUUCCAGGAGUGCCUGCCUCUCUUAGCUGGUGCUGGAAUGCAGAUGAUGCUGUAGCAUUUGUUUCCCACAGAGGCCCACUAUUCAUUUGGACCAUAUCAGGACCAGAGAGUGGAGUGACUGUACACAAGGAGGCCCAUAGCUUCUUGUCUGAUAUCUGUAUUUUCAGAUGGCAUACACAAAAAAAAGGGAAAGUUGUGUUUGGUCAUAUUGAUGGAAGUCUAUCAGUUUUUCAGCCAGGUAAGAAUUUAAUGAGUCUAGUUGCUUAAUUAUAUAUUUUAUAGAAGAUGUGCUUUCUUAUUUACAUGCAUAUAUUAGUUUGUUUCCCAUUACUAUAACAAGUAUCUAAGACAAAUAAGCUUAAAAAGAAGAAAGGUGUAUUUUGGCUCACAGUUUUAAAAGUUUCAGUGUAUGACCAAAUGACUCCAUUGCUUGGUGACAUAGUAUAUCUUAGCGGAGCAUCUGGAAACAAAAAGAGGGAAGUGUGAUGUCCGACAAAUAUGUUUGUGAGUAUGACUCAAUGACCUUUUAGCUUCCCACAAUGCCCCUCCUUCUAAAGGUUCCAUUACCUCCUCAUAAUGCCAUGGGCUGGGGGCCAAACCUUUAACACAUGGGCCUUUGGGGAACAUUCCAGAUCUAAAUUGUAGUAAUAUAUAGAGUGAACAGUAACAAAAUUGUAAUUUUAAAAAUAUUAUUUCUGAAAAUAUUAUUUAAAAUUGGGUUGACUCCAAAUAGUCAUUGAAGUAAAUUUUAUUUGUAGGCAUUGUAAUUUCACUUGGUUGUAAAAAUCUUGUUUUGAAUUUACCCAAAUCAGUCAUUUUCCCCAUAUUUAUAAUUUUUAAGUCAAUUCUUUAUUUCCGACUAAGAAACUAACCUAAAUGAACAAGAAUAUGUUGCUGGAAGAUAUGACGAUUUACUAAAACCCUCCAAAAUAUUUUCUCACCUGCUGAUAAACAUGUUGGUUCCAUGGUUCCUUAAAAAUGGACUUAAACCUGUCAUAAGAACACAAAGUAACUCUUUGAACCCCUAGUUAAUUAAUUUGGCUGAAUGAAAGGACUUGAGAAAUUAUUUUUUAUUCAUUUUAAAAAUUUAGGCAGUAACAAAAAGUAUGAUUUUAAAAAUUACCUGAAUUGCUCUAUCCUCUAAAUAAACAUUGUUAACUUUUUGGAAAAACUAUUUUUAGCCUUCUGUCAUCUGUGUUUCUGUAUGUGACUAUUGGAUAGCCAGAUAGAUAAAAGAACUUUUUCAGGAAGCGAUAAUUACUUUUAUAAAACAUUAAAUUUCAAAUUAUCUGAAAUUAAUAGAAAAAGACAUUAAAAUUGAACAGAAGGAAUUGUGAAACUUUAAAUAAAUCUUUCUUUAGUAAAUAAUCUUUUUUAAUUUAAGAAAGGAGUAUAUAAAAUAUUGGUAAACUGAAGCCAUUAUAUCUUGGUACAAUUAAACAGAAUCUAAAAUAGAUACAAAUAUUUUUCUUUACCAGUUUCCCCCUCUGUUCUUUGUACACACCCUCUGUUCUUUCUAGUUUAAACGAAUUGAGCGUAGGGACCAUUUCAUGUACUUGGUAGAUUAGGUUGAGGAGAGUUCAAUGGCUAUUGCUUCAUUUAAAUUUUUGACUUGAAUACCUAAAUCAUCACUUCUUCACUAUAUCUUCUACACUGGGAGCAAACUCUGUUGUAGAGUUGGUCAUUAAGGCUCACAGUUAAAUUAAGCAAGAAAACUAACGUACUUUCUCUGCUUUGACCUUGUGAAGAUCACUUUUCUCUCCUAUGCUCACUCUUCUGAGAAUUUUAGGAGGUAAUAUAUGUACAGUAAAAUGGCUGUAUGCUGUGUGGUUUCUCCUCUUACCUCUCUGCUUUCUGGGUUAUUUAACCAGAUCUCAUUAAGGUUAUUACCCUAUUUAGCUUCUGGUUGUCUUUAACCCAGAGAUUUCAUCAGUAAGUACGGUGACACUUUUUUCUCAAGGAAUCUCAGUGCUGCCUAAGAUCUGAAGAGGAUUAUGAACAGUGUUUUUUUGGCGGGGGGAGGUCUAAAAUGCUGUCUCUGUUUUUCUUAUAUUUUGUGAUUUGUCCUUAUGGCCAUCUCCUGAGCCACAACCUCAACACCCCCACAGACUUCUUAACUUUAUUUAUUCUGUAGGAUUUAUUUAGCAUAAAAAUACAUAAAACAUUAACAAAAGAUAAAUCCUAGUAGGUAUUUUCCUUUUGUGUAGACAUUGAGUUAAUAGAUCAUGGGGAAGCUCUACCUUUUAAUUCUGUCAUUGAAUUCUGGAUUGUGAGUUUGGAAUUGUUAGCAUUAAUAGUUGUAAGGUUUUGUUAGGCUUCUUAUUUUUAUGAGACAUUGUCAACUAUACCUUCUUAAUGACUUUAUGGCAUCACAGAUGAUUCCCAUUUUACAAUAUAGGAUUUCUGUCUUCUAGGUUAUUUCAGGAAGUUAUGAUAUCAAGCUCUCUGUUGUCUGAAAUUUCUAUUAGAAAAAUAUUUAUGGACUAUUGUUCAAUAUAAAAUGCAUUUCAUCUAUCAUUUUAAAUAUUUCACUUCUAAACUGUGUUUUGUAUGUUUAUAUAUUUAUGUGUAUAUUGGGGGUAAGGGACUUGUUAGGAAAUCCAGAUGGACUCUAAGCCUUCUGUUCCCUUUCAGCCUAGAGCACCAUUUUAUUCUGAUUUAUAUAUAGUAUUUUCAUGUAAAAAUUCUCUUAAAAAGUAUUGUAGGAGGGAUGGGGUUGUGGCUCAGUUGUAGCAUGCUUACCUAGCAUGUGUGAGGACUGGGUUUGAUUCUCAGCACCACAUACAAAUAAAUAAAAUAAAGGUCUAUCAAUAACUAAAAAUAUUUUUUAAAAAAGAGUAUUGCAGGGCAGAAAAAGUUACAAACUUUUUUAGUUAAUUCAAAUUGUGUUUUUAGACCAAGUUCAGCAAAGAACUUCCUUUUUUAACAUUCACUGUAGAGUGUCUAAUUGGUCAUUCAUUUACUAUUUCAUGAAUAUGCAUUAAUAAGAUUUACAUGUUUUUAAUUUUAAAAAUGUUGUUGAUGACAUUAUCCCUGUGUAACACUAUGUCUACCUUUUUAAAGCACACAGAAGAUAUUUCUGAUCCCAAAUGUAGGAAAAAUUGUGCUUCUCCUAAGUAUAUGUUUUGUUUAUUCUUUUUGUUUUUAUCCUAGAGACAUUGUGAAUUGUACAACCUUUCCUGAUAAUUUCCUCUUUGCUUUAUCCACCUUAUCUCAAAAUCAAAAUUUUGACAGCUAUAUGACUAUGUUAUCCUUAUAUUUUAAUCCCAAUUUUUCCUUGCUUUCAUUUUAAAUUUUUCUGUAGAAAUUGUCAAAACUAUCUUCUUAUUGAUUUAUUCAUAUCAUAUGCUUCUGUCCUUAUCUAACAAGACAAAUUACCUGAUUUUGCAUAAUAAAAUAGAGCAUUAACAUGAUAACAUAAAAGUAAAACAAUUGCCUGCUGUUCCCAUGACUGCCUGCAAAAUUUUAUAGAUUUAUUUCUGUUUUACAAUAAAAAUACCAGCCUACCAGAUAGAAAAUGAAAUAGGGAAUAUAAACCACUGUGAUUUUGACUAUAGGAUAGGACUUUGAAGCAACCUAAUUUAGAUGUUAUAGGAUUAGACUACAAAUUCUCCCAUUUUGUGUUGCUGUCAUUUGAUUGUUUUAUAUGCUAGAAUAUUUUUAAUAAAUCAUAAAUAUUGACUGACAAGAAAGCCACAAACAUGGGCUGGGGAUGUGGCUCAAGCGGUAGAGUGCUCGCCUGGCAUGAGUGCAGCCCGGGUUCGAUCCUCAGCACCACAUACAAACAAAGAUGUUGUGUCCGCCGAAAACUAAAAAAAUAAAUAAAUAUUAAAAAAAAAAAGAAAGCCACAAACUUACUUAAGAAAGGGUAAAGCUUUGGUUAAUAAGUUCUUUUUUUAAAUCACUCUCUACUUUGUAAUAAUUAACUAUAUUAAUAUGCAUCACUAUUAUAGCAAUUAUCUGUCAUCAUCCUCUCAUUCUCAAGGUCUGUGCUUUUAAUCACUGUUUGAUAUUCUUCAUUUCUAUAAGGACUUUCUUAUUCCUUUGUAGUAUUAAUUAGGUGAAAUUUGUUGUUGAAAAGAUUAAGUACAUUAUUUACCUGUGUCUUUUUCUUAUAGCUUUUCAUUCACAAAUAGAAACAUUUAAGGCACUAGAGAUUUCUAAAGCAAAACAGUUCAGUCUGACCUUCAUUAUUAGGACAAACUAAUUCCCCUGCAUUUAUAUGUGAAUUAUACCUUCUGCAUAAAAAUGCCAGAUUUGCAUUCUCAGGCCUCCCCGAGAUUGGUGGUACACAAGGAGAAAAUUAACAUGAUUUAAAUUAUUGACCUUCUUGUGACUCUCUGAGAAACAAUUUUCUUUAUAUUUUAAUAGGUAAUAAAAAUCAGAAACAUGUUUUGAGACCUGAAUCUCUUGAAGGAACAGAUGAAGAGGAUCCAAUUACAGCCCUGGAAUGGGACCCACUCUCUACUGAUUAUCUU